AACACGUGGGCAACCUGCCCCCUCCACCGGGACAGCCUCGGGAAACCGUGGGUAAUACCGGAUACUCCGGGACGGCCGCAUGGCCGGCCCGGGAAAGCCCAGACGGGAGGGGAUGGGCCCGCGGCCUGUUAGCUAGUCGGCGGGGUAACGGCCCACCGAGGCGAUUAUGGGUAGCCGGGUUGAGAGACCGACCGGCCAGAUUGGGACUGAGACACGGCCCAGACUCCUACGGGAGGCAGCAGUGGGGAAUCUUGCGCAAUGGGCGGAAGCCUGACGCAGCGACGCCGCGUGCGGGACGAAGGCCUUCGGGUCGUAAACCGCUUUCAGCAGGGACGAGGCCCUCACGGUGACGGUACCUGCAGAAGAAGCCCCGGCUAACUACGUGCCAGCAGCCGCGGUAAUACGUAGGGGGCGAGCGUUAUCCGGAUUCAUUGGGCGUAAAGCGCGCGUAGGCGGCCUGUUAGGUCGGGGGUCAAAUACCGGGGCUCAACCCCGGUCCGCCCCCGAUACCGGCAGGCUUGAGUCUGGUAGGGGAAGGCGGAAUUCCCAGUGUAGCGGUGGAAUGCGCAGAUAUUGGGAAGAACACCGGCGGCGAAGGCGGCCUUCUGGGCCACGACUGACGCUGAGGCGCGAAAGCUAGGGGAGCGAACAGGAUUAGAUACCCUGGUAGUCCUAGCCGUAAACGAUG
rnacentral:rRNA from 1 species